UGCUUGGUGGUUAUCCUACGACUUCUAAGCAAUCUCAAACAUGGAGCAAAUGCAUAGGAUGAUCGUGAUACACUAGGGUGGACUUGGGCCUUAGUGACGAUAAAAUGGAUCUAGACUAGUUAAAACUUGUUAUGUACUUUGUUUCUUUUUAUUUUAAGACAAUGUAACUUGUGGGUUCUCGUUUGAAACAAUGUAUUCCACCCUUGGGUGAUGAAUAAAAUAUUAUUUAAAUUACCUUGGUUGUGGAACAAUAAUUCUGUUACAACACUCCCCGACGUUUCCGCCACGAUUUGA
rnacentral:lncRNA from 1 species